UAAAAUAAAAAUACAGUAAGUUCAUCCAUACUUUGUGCAAGACAAAAAAUUUUUUAUUUCAGGUUCAAAAUAAUAAAUUAUAGCUAAUUUGGCUGAUCUUUCAUUUUAUGUAACUCCAAUGUAACGUACAAUAGGUUACAUGCUGUUUGGUUUUUGUUGUAGCAGAUUUGUGUAUAUCAGUCUCUGGGUCAUUCCACCAAUUGGGUGCCUUUUGAGUAAUAUACCUUGGUGAAAAAAAACAUAGAAUUUCACCUAAUUUUAACAUUCUGUCGUAAAGAGUAGAUGUUCAACUUAAUAAAAAGCAUGCGUUUCCAUCUCGAGGUUAAAAAAACAACUAUAUUAAGUGUCUAUUAAGUGCCAAAUAAAGUAAAAGGGUGACUGUAACAAGGUAGAUGAUCUUAAAUCAGCCAGAAAUCCCCUUGUGACAGGAGGAAUGGAAGCUUGUUGUGUGCAACAGGGAGGGUCAAUUGAAUGCAAGCUUCACAACAACAACAAAAAUAUUGUCAAAAAAUGUCUAGCCUGUCCAUCUAUGGGUAACAGUGUUGACAUGUAAUGCUCAACCCACUCAGUUUUCCACCACAAAACACCAGGAAAUUGCAAAAAAGAGUAGAACCAGCUCACCUGCUUUUACACUGUGGUUUUAUAAUUUUAUUAGAUGUAGUAUUUGCUAUUUUUUUAAAGAAUAGUUUCAUCCUCUUAAAAUGAGAGUUCAGUUCAUGUAACAGGGUUGACCUUAAAAUGAGGGAGAGUUUUUGGUUUUAAAUUAAAAUGAAUCACUAAUCACAUUAAAUAAAUAAUCAUCUUCAGAAAUGACUUUGUCAUGAUGAUUAAAACUUGAUGAUUAAAAUGUUGGGGUUAAGUGGGUUAAAAUCUUCCUAUAAGUCUAAGACAGUGCACAGAGGGACAUUUGGUCAAUAUUAAAAAGGGAACUACAUUUAAUUUAACAAGCUUUUAAAAUUCAAUAUUGAUGCACAAUUUCUACUUAAUAUAUCAAAGGGACACAAAGGCACUCAUUUCAUGGAAUGUCCCGUCUGAGUUCUUUCUGAGCUCCACAUUAGAAACCCAUUAGAAACCAAGGAGACACAGUGGAUCAAGUCACUGGUGAUAAAGACUGAGAGUCACACACUUGUCUCAUUCUUGAAUGUCUUUGUGCAACUAGCAUUUUGUAAGGACUUGACUAGAUUUGUUUGGGAAGCGUCAUGUCAAGGCUUCCAUUUAUGUCCCAAUGAAUGAAAACUAAGUACCAACCAUUGUUACACAGUGUAGCAUCCACCAAUCCAGUUUCAUAUAAGAAUAGCACAUGCUAUCUAUGCAGUUUCCCAUUUUAACCAACAAGCAUUUGCAAGAAGUUAGAAUCUACCAAAAUAAACUGUCUCCAUCUCUAUCUGAAUUGAAAGAACCAUGUCAGCCAAUUGUAAUUAAACCACGACAUUGAUAGUGAAAAGAAUAUAUCAGAAUAAUCAGUUACUAAUCCAGCUACAAGCGCCUCUGCGAACAUUCCGACAAACAAAGAAAAAAUAACAUUAAAGAGACCUUAAAAAAUGCUGCCCUUCAUAACAAGGUAAAUCCUACAUGUAAUCUGCUCAAGUUUAUUUCCAGAUAAAGGAGCACGUCUCUAAUUUACUCUUAUAACAGCUCUUAACCUUACCUACAGAAACGUCCUCACAUUGGGAGAAAUGGGCCCGGUUCCAAGCAAUCAUCCCCUAACUCUAUUACACUCCCCAUAACAAUUUACUGUACUACACUGGGAACUUUGAAGAUCUGGCAACCGAAAUAAUCUGGCAACCCAGAUGAGUUUAACGGGUGUUGUUAAUUAGGCUAAACGAGGCCAUCCAGUAAUGUCUCCCGGAGCCUAGACAGACAAUACAGGCACAGACACAGAAAAGGCUUACACUUGUUCCCAGACUAACCUCCCAGGUCUAAUGGAAUGUUUGGCUCAGUGUCAUCAAUUCAUUAAGACAGACCUUUUCAAGUGGAAGUGUGAGGACUCAGCAAACAGUUUCUAUCUAUUUAGUGUGCCUUUGCUGCACAUGAUCUGCAGGUUUCCGCUAUUGUGUCACCCCAGCCAACACUGACCAUGAUACCCGUACAGAUGGCAAUGGCGGAUGGGGAGACAUGGUGGAAUAAGGGGAGACAGGAGGAGAGUGCUGGUGGAGGAGAUAUAACUGCAUCUAAAACUGUCUACUUGGAGAAGCAGUGAAACACAUGCACAGAGAGAGAGAAACAUUGAGUGUGGGUGGGGGAUGGAUGCCACUGGUCCCACAUUUCAAUCUCUCAAUGUGAGAGUGGUGGAAUAGAUGGAUGGGUGGAGGUGUCUGGGACUCGGUGGAAUGGAUGGAUGGGUGGAGGUGUCUGGGACUCGGUGGAAUGGAUGGAUGGGUGGAGGUGUCUGGGACUCGGUGGAAUGGAUGGAUGGGUGGAGGUGUCUGGGACUCGGUGGAAUGGAUGGAUGGGUGGAGGUGUCUGGGACUCGGUGGAAUGGAUGGAUGGGUGGAGGUGUCUGGGACUCGGUGGAAUGGAUGGAUGGGUGGAGGUGUCUGGGACUCGGUGGAAUGGAUGGAUGGGUGGAGGUGUCUGGGACUCGGUGGAAUGGAUGGAUGGGUGGAGGUGUCUGGGACUCUGUGGAAUGGAUGGAUGGGUGGAGGUGUCUGGGACUCGGUGGAAUGGAUGGAUGGGUGGAGGUGUCUGGGACUCGGUGGAAUGGAUGGAUGGGUGGAGGUGUCUGGGACUCGGUGGAAUGGAUGGAUGGGUGGAGGUGUCUGGGACUCUGUGGAAUGGAUGGAUGGGUGGAGGUGUCUGGGACUCGGUGGAAUGGAUGGAUGGGUGGAGGUGUCUGGGACUCGGUGGAAUGGAUGGAUGGGUGGAGGUGUCUGGGACUCGGUGGAAUGGAUGGAUGGGUGGAGGUGUCUGGGACUCUGUGGAAUGGAUGAAUGGGUGGAGGUGUCUGGGACUCUGUGGAAUGGAUGGAUGGGUGGAGGUGUCUGGGACUCGGAGGCAUGGAUGGAUGGGUGG